UGCCUAAACUCAUAUCUUCGGAUGUGAGCAUGGCGUAAUAUAUCAAUCCUACGCGAAUAAAAACGGUCUCGUGACCGACACUUAUUCGCGUAGGUCAACACUUCGAAAGGAAUGUUGAGUAAUUCGAAAGGAUUACU
rnacentral:sRNA from 1 species